rnacentral:tRNA from 1 species
CGGGCUGUAGCGCAGCUUGGAUAGCGCACCUGUAUGGGGUGCAGGGGGUCGGCAGUUCGAAUCUGCCCAGCCCGACCA